AAUCCCAUCGCUCUCCCUCUCUCUCCUGCAGGUUGAAGUGAGUGUGAUGUUGUAUAAUCUGAAAGGAGGAGAUGCUACAGUGCCCUCCUGCAGGUUGAAGUGAGUGUGAUGUUGUAUAAUCUGAAAGGAGGAGAUGCUACAGUGCCCUCCUGCAGGUUGAAGUGAGUGUGAUGUUGUAUAAUCUGAAAGGAGGAGAUGCUACAGUGCCCUCCUGCAGGUUGAAGUGAGUGUGAUGUUGUAUAAUCUGAAAGGAGGAGAUGCUACAGUGCCCUCCUGCAGGUUGAAGUGAGUGUGAUGUUGUAUAAUCUGAAAGGAGGAGAUGCUACAGUGCCCUCCUGCAGGUUGAAGUGAGUGUGAUGUUGUAUAAUCUGAAAGGAGGAGAUGCUACAGUGCCCUCCUGCAGGUUGAAGUGAGUGUGAUGUUGUAUAAUCUGAAAGGAGGAGAUGCUACAGUGCCCUCCUGCAGGUUGAAGUGAGUGUGAUGUUGUAUAAUCUGAAAGGAGGAGAUGCUACAGUGCCCUCCUGCAGGUUGAAGUGAGUGUGAUGUUGUAUAAUCUGAAAGGAGGAGAUGCUACAGUGCCCUCCUGCAGGUUGAAGUGAGUGUGAUGUUGUAUAAUCUGAAAGGAGGAGAUGCUACAGUCCCCUCCUGCAGGUUGAAGUGAGUGUGAUGUUGUAUAAUCUGAAAGGAGGAGAUGCUACAGUGCCCUCCUGCAGGUUGAAGUGAGUGUGAUGUUGUAUAAUCUGAAAGGAGGAGAUGCUACAGUGCCCUCCUGCAGGUUGAAGUGAGUGUGAUGUUGUAUAAUCUGAAAGGAGGAGAUGCUACAGUCCCCUCCUGCAGGUUGAAGUGAGUGUGAUGUUGUAUAAUCUGAAAGGAGGAGAUGCUACAGUUCUGCCCUCCUGCAGGUUGAAGUGAGUGUAAUGUUGUUUAAUCUGAAAGGAGGAGAUGCUACAGUUCUGCCCUCCUGCAGAACUAGGCUAGUAGUUAGUUUCACCAGACAGCAAGACACCUCAUGGAGAAGUCUGCACUGUGCCACUACUCUGAUAUACAAAGGUUUCCUGUCGCUCAGCACAUCUCGAACACCUGUUAAAAUGUAUGUCUUAAUAGAUUACACACACACCCUCAGCAUACAGCGUUAAUGAGGCGUGCACACACACACACACACACACACACACACACACACACACACA